rnacentral:lncRNA from 1 species
CUUAGGCUGAGCACUCCCAUACUUUGGAAACAGUAUAGUAACUGAAUGGAAGCGUAGCAAAGAGAAGCAAAGAAAAAGUGAUUCCUAAAUUGAUGAUUUUAGAAAGGAGCUUUGGUCUAAAGGAGGGACUUUUGGAGGUUCCAGUGAACAAGUCACCAUGAGGAUCCUCUACCUGGUGUUUAUGGUGCUCUUUGUGAUCUUCUCUGAUGCUAGUGCAGACCAUGUGUCAACACUUGAUACUACCAAAUGCUACCAUAAGCAUGGCAUCUGUGUAUAUGGCAGUUGUCAAAAUAUUGGACGUCCUAAAGUUACCUGCUUUAAUAAGAAAGCCAAGUGUUGCAAAUUUAAGAAAUUCGGCCAAAGAAAAUAUAAACUGAAAACCAUGGUGCGGGGAGACUCUGGGAUAUGUAAGCAUAGGAGAAUAGAAGAUGGGAGGACUUGAAAUGAAUGGAAUAUUUGUUAUUCUUAUUUAAAUAAAGGCAACCACAUUUGAAAAGCCUGCUAAGUC